rnacentral:rRNA from 1 species
CUACCAUGGCUAUCACGGUUAACGGGGAAUUAGGGUUCGAUUCCGGAGAGGGAGCCUGAGAAACGGCUACCACAUCUAAGGAAGGCAGCAGGCGCGUAAAUUACCCAAUCCUGAUUCAGGGAGGUAGUGACAAGAAAUAACAACUCGGGGCCUAACGGCUUACGAGAUUGCAAUGAGAACAAUUUAAAUCACUUAUCUAGGAACAAUUGGAGGGCAAGUCUGGUGCCAGCAGCCGCGGUAAUUCCAGCUCCAAUAGCGUAUAUUAAUGUUGUUGCAGUUAAAAAGCUCGUAGUUGAACUUCUGGCGGCUCGUCUAGCUGGCUUCGGUCGUUAGUCGAGUCGUCAUCCGUCUGAGAACCAUGGCUGGCCUUAAUUGGUCACUAUGGAGAUCAGGCAUUUUACUUUGAAAAAAUUAGAGUGUUCAAGGCAGGCGAUCGCCAUGAAUACACAAGCAUGGAAUAAUGGAAUAGGACUUUGGUUCAUUUUGUUGGUUAUUGAACCUAAGUAAUGAUUAAUAGGGACAAUUGGGGGCAUUAGUAUUUAAUUGUCAGAGGUGAAAUUCUUGGAUUUAUUAAAGACUAACUUAUGCGAAAGCAUUUGCCAAGGAUGUUUUCAUUAAUCAA